ACUCUGCCGUGUACCCUCUUCAUCCACCAUCAUCUCAACUUCACUUGCAGCCACCUCUGACCAGUCACCUCCAAUCGCCGGUCGACCACCUGAUUUUGGAACUAUCGUUGAAGGUCUCUAGAAGUUGGUUGGCUCAUUGGAUAUUACUUGACGUUUAUUGUUUGAGCUUGUGAAGUUUGUAUCUACAAGAGGUCAGGAGGAUGUUCAGGAUCGGCUGCCGGAGACGUGACAGUGCAGUGUAGUCUGUGUCUAUUAGAUUUAUAUUUCUUGUCUUUAUUAGGACUUGGACUUGUUAAACUAUUUAAAUUCGGCAUA